rnacentral:rRNA from 1 species
GAUGAACGCUGGCGGCGUGCCUAAUACAUGCAAGUCGAGCGAACAGAUGAGGAGCUUGCUCCUCUGACGUUAGCGGCGGACGGGUGAGUAACACGUGGAUAACCUACCUAUAAGACUGGGAUAACUUCGGGAAACCGGAGCUAAUACCGGAUAAUAUAUUGAACCGCAUGGUUCAAUAGUGAAAGACGGUUUUGCUGUCACUUAUAGAUGGAUUCGCGCCGCAUUAGCUAGUUGGUAAGGUAACGGCUUACCAAGGCAACGAUGCGUAGCCGACCUGAGAGGGUGAUCGGCCACACUGGAACUGAGACACGGUCCAGACUCCUACGGGAGGCAGCAGUAGGGAAUAUUCCGCAAUGGUCGAAAGCCUGACGGAGCAACGCCGCGUGAGUGAUGAAGGUCUUCGGAUCGUAAAACUCUGUUAUUAGGGAAGAACAAAUGUGUAAGUAACUAUGCACGUCUUGACGGUACCUAAUCAGAAAGCCACGGCUAACUACGUG